GGUCCGGGUCCCAAGGGGAUCAGGCACCCAGAUUCCAGCGGGAUUUGAACGCUCUAAAAAGUGCUGGCCUUGGACUCCGUAAACAUAUAUUUGGAGAAAGCACUGUGGUUAGAGCAGUCUUUUUUUAUAAGAACAGUAUGUUUUGGCUUAGUAAAUGCUUGCUCUACUCUUUUACAGAUUCUUGUUUUGAUUUAUAUCUUGCAUGUUCUUGUUUGUCUCCUUGAGUGAAACUGUAUAUUCUUUUUUUUUUUUUUUUAUAAAUGUUUUGAAUCUAGCUAUAAAGGGCAGCAGACAAAAACACGCAGUGAUCCCAAAAAAAGACUAAUUGGUUUAUUUACUCAAAAUCCUGGCUCUUUUAUGCUGAGUUAUGCAAAAUUACCACAGCAAGAAUGAUCAUUGACAACAGGUUUUGUUAGUGUUUUAAUCUAGGGUUGUAUUUUAUGGCUAGACUUUAAGGAAAUUGGACAAAAGAUGUAGGUCAAACAGUAUAAUUAAAAAUACAGAACAGCAGAUUGGAUCCAAUAAUAAUUCACUUUCCUGCUGCUAAUGAAAUAUGCUAGCACAAAUUAAUGGCUUGUUACUUAAGCCCGUUGGAAAGACUUUGUCCCAGUACAAAAGGCAUUCAGUUUGAAAAUGUGUGUUACAAUCUUCUAACCAGCAAAGCUAGAGAUUGGACAUAGCUAUAAAUCCAGUGUGUUCUGGGAAUAGAAGCUGGCAAAAACACUCCUAGCAAAAUAUCAGAGCAGGAUCUCACUGGGAUUUGGAGAGCGGCUAAUGUAACCGAGUGCAGAUGUUUAUGUGGACCGAAAGACAUUCCCAGAAUAAGAAUACCAUACAAACACAUGGUGAUUUUUAUAGCAGAAAAACAAGGAAGUGGGGAUAAUAAAACAUAUGCUCUUAUUUCUGAUGAAGCAUUUGCUGUUUUGCUCAAUGCGCCUCUACUGAAGUGGGCAAGGCUGCCUCUCCAGUGCCUGCUGCUGGGGCCUAUGGAAGCUUCUGGAAGUCCUUGGGUUGUGGGGCUGGUGCUCAUGUGAAGCUCCACAGACUCCCUGUGUGGCUCCCUUGGUCUUUCUGAACUUCGCAGAGGAAGUAAGAGUUUCUGAAAGUGUGAUGUAUCACACGCUGAGGUAACAGCUAAAAUAGGUCAGGUGGAUUUCAUCCCAGACACCUGGUUCUCACUACAGGCUACAAAGGGAGCCUAGGGUGAUGAGCUUAAAUGAAGGUAUUUGUGUUAUACAUAGAUUUUAGUCAGAUAAAUUCUGACUGAACGUGGAGCUUUUUCCACUGAUUUCUGGGAAUCUGGGAUUAACUCCUCAAAAUUCAUGGUGACAGAAGUGCUGCUUACAUGUAGGGCUGCUGAUGGGUUGCGAGUCCUAUGCAUGACACUGCUUGCAACCAUUUGUCCUGUCUUCAUGCCAGCCUCACAUGCACUGGCCUAAAUGUGGGUCCCCUUCCUGAAAAUGCUCUCAGGGUAACUCUACCAAGAAGAGCAGUCUCACUGACCUGAAACUAGGACAUCAGGGUCUCAGUACUCUGUGGUUGAGGAAGAGGCAGAUUGCUACCAGGCCUUUAUGGCCUAUGGAGCCCUUUCCUUCCCUACCGUAUACUAUCUCUAUAAUUUUUUCACAAACCUAUCAAGUUGCACCCGAAACCAGGCAGACUAUUUGUACCCAGUUCUCAUACUAUAAAAGUGUAUUUUGCUGAUGCUUCAGACAAGUUCCUUCUGCAAGUUGAGUUUAUUUCUGGGCAGAUUUACUAUUUUGCCAAAAAUUUUGCUUUUCUGGUUAUCUGGAGAAGUGGUAAUUUAUAUUUCUGCUGCUUCACUCCCCUCAGCUAACUCAACUUCAGUUCCAUCUUCUAUAUCAUAGCAUGAACUAAGUAAUUCCCAUUAGUUUGUAGCCGUAUCUGAAUUAUUUUUAUCUGAACUCUACUGCCUGCAUAGUGGCAUCUUUUCUUCCCCUCUUGCUAACAAGGAUUGUCUGCUUUUUAUUUUCCUUACCAGUGUUUAGUUUAGCUGGUAUUUUUUGCUUUAGUUCUGGGCUUCCCAGCACUUGUUUCUUUUCCUGUUUUCAUUCUCUGCCUUUAACUUUUUCAUUGGCUGCACCAUCCUUUCUUACAAGCUCUUUACCCUGCUUUUAUUUUGAGCACAACUAUCUUCUCUUGCAUGUGAAGUUCAGAGAACUGAAUUCUCUAAUUCCUUCUUUGGUUGCUUAGUGCAGCUCUUACUAUCUCUUAACAGAGACAAGGAUUUGCCCGAGACCUUAGGAUACUGUUGACCAACAAGAUCUGCAAUAAUGUAUAUCCUACACUUCUGUAUUCAACCUCUGUAUUGUUUGUUUGUUUAAGAAAAAGGGAGAAACCUUAUGCCCACAGCUGCCAAACAGAUUCUGCAGACCACUGAGAAACAGAUGCUACAGAUUGUUACUUAGUGGUCGAUUACAAAUAAACUUGCCUCUUCCUUCCCUUUGCCCCCAAGAAAGAAAACCCAAAUCUUUCUUCAAUGACUUGCUGCUUUUCCUUAAAAAGACAGCUCCAAUUUUUUUAUUUUUUUGCUUUUUAAUUGAUUACACAUCUAACUGACAAGGUAGUAAAUAACUAUAAUUCCAGAUGUGGGGAAGGAACGCAGCUACUUUAGAAAUUAUCCAAAAAAAAAAAAAAAAGGAUUUUCCCAUGAGAACUGAGUGACUUUAGUAAAAGGGGAUUAUUUGCAGACAACACUCUGUCAAAAAGUGGCAUUUCUCGCAAGUUUUUCUACUCCUCGUAUUCUGGUCAACCUCAAGUAAUAGUUUCAGGUGAGAGAAAUAGUGAAAAAAUAGAUUUUGAAGCUCAGUGGUUUUUAUUUUGGAAAAUAAUUAAAGCAAAAAAGCAUCAAUCGUUUUCUUGUAAAAUGUUUUAUUCAGCAUAUCAAAUUUCAUUUUUUGAUUAUCCAAAGUUUCUGGAGUGUUCUUAAUAAACUGGGUAAAGAAGGGAGGAGAUACUAUUUGCUAGCGGGAUUAGGGUGGGGUCUUGAAAAAAUUUGGCCCAGAACAGUUAUCUCCUAUUUUUGUCAGGCUAGUAUUCAAAAUGGGAAGAAUCCAUUCCACCCAGUUCUGUUCCAGCUAUUAAAAUAAAAUUCUCAUUAAAGGAAAUGCUGAAUAGAUAGUUUUUUUUAUGAAGAUGCUAUGUGUUAUAUACUGUUUAUAUAUCCACUUAUAUAUUUUUAUAUAAACAAUAUAUAGAACAAUAUAUAGGAGUGGGAAUUUAUGCCAUUUACAUAGACAUUUCUCCAGGUCUAGAUUUCACAGGUGAUUUAUUCUUGAGAAAGGAGCUGCCUCUUCUCGACUGCUUUGUCUUUUGGUCUGCCAAAUGGAAAUACACAAAAUGGAUGAAGUAUACAAGAUCUCUUCUACUGAGAAGGUCCAGCAGCUGGAAAGAGAACUAGCAGCACAGUUGGCAGAGCUGAAGGCACAAAUAGAGGACAACGGGGUACUCCAGGGAACACCAGGCAGAGCAUACAGCUCUGUUCCAGUUCCAAAGGAUGUAACUUAUUUCAGAAAAGAAAGGGAGGUAAUACUGAAAAAAGUCUUACAGGUGACAGAGGCAAAACCCCUUGUUAUUCAGGCUGAUGUCAUGCAGAGGGAGUUAGAGAGCUGCUGGAGAAGGGAGUACACAGCAGCAAGCUUGCCUCUGCUGCUGCACCAGUUUUUUACAGACAGAAUCACUCAGCUAGUCCAGAGUAAAUAUUUGCACAUGCUUAGAUGGAAGAGAUUUUGUACACACAGCAGUGUUAUUGAGAAGCUUUAUCCUCUCUAUCAGCAGCGAGUUAGUCACAUCAUGGAGGAAUAUAAUGAUGCAGUUCAGAGGGCCGCAAGACUUUCAGCUGCAAGGGAGAAUUUCCUGACAGGAAAGAAAAAUCCAAUGAAUUUGGUGACACAGGAAGAUCUGAUGAUUUACACUCAGUGGUUAGUGUGCCACUUCCACUCUUUGAAGGGCAUUCACCGUUUUCUCCAGAUUCUCCAGCAUUUGCCUGCUUCUCAUAGACUGAAUGUGGUUGAUGAGAAAUGUCCUGAUGUGAUCCCAAACAACUGGGACAAAUUAAGUGCUUUUGACAAGAAUUCAGAAUCCUGUCACAAGGACACUGGAUUCACAUUGCCACAGCACAGCACUGAAACCGAGGAGCUGAGACCCCAGCUCCAGCUUCUGAUGGCUCACUUUGGUAUUGACUAUAACCUUGAGGAUCUGAAGAACCCAGCCAAUGAGAUGGAGCUCUUUUCCCUGGUUGUCAGAAAGUUUAGAAGCAUCUUCAGCAAACAGCAGACGAUGAGAACAUUUCCAGUUUAUGACACAGAGGCUUCUAGAUCAGAUAAAUGGGGCAUGUUAGAUCCAACCAGGGCUUUGAAGAAGAGAGCCAAUUGGAUUCCCUUUUUAAAGAUUAAGCCUAAAGUAGACCCCUGGCAGCAAAAGCUUUUGAUAAAAUUGAAACAAUGGAAAAGAGUGGAUAAGAUGAUGGACCUUCAUUCAAAAUUUGUAGAGGUCUCGGACAUGGAGAGGGUGCUGGAGGGUCUCCAGAAUCAUGCAGCAGUGGUGCUCAAACCACAUGCUUUGCAGUCAAGUUCUGCCACCUCUCAUGCCUCAGGACAGCCGAAUUACGAUCAUAUCUGGAAGGAAGUCUAUGCCUUCUCUGAGCAUCAACAGGAACUAAGUACUGAGGAUGAUCACACAGCUGUGGCUCAUGGUGAGGAGGAUGUAGAAAACACCAGCUCCAGUAAGCCCCCAGGAUCCUGCAGAAAGAAGAGUGAAAGAGGGUAUAGUUAUAUGAGCACCUUGCAGCUGCUAGGAUUGGAAGAAGGAACAACAAUUGCCAACAAGGAGCAUGUGGUGACAAGAGGAACCUACCUGUCCUUUCUUCUCCUACGUCACCUGAGGCUCCGAGAGCUAAAGCGAGUAUGCCUGGGGAUCCUGAACUAUUUUAGGUCUGUGGAGAGAAGCCUGACCAUCAGUACCUCAGGCCUCUCCUUCAAGGCUGGUCAUCUAAUUCCCUGCGCAGAAGACACCUCCUGGGUCAAUGCUGCCAAAGGAGGCACUGGUGUUUCUGGUGGCUUAUGCUCUCAGCCCUAUAUUCACUACACACCAGCUGACUACAAGGUGCAUAGCGCUCAGUUCAUGGAGUUUGCAGAGGUGGAAAACCAUGAUGACUUCCACACUCGUGGCGAUGGAUAUAUUCACACACAGGACCAGAGAGGGGCUUACAUCAUGUAUGAUGUGGCUUUAGAGGACCUGAAGAAGCUUGAGAACCAGCUGCUGCUUGUGGCCAGUCAGUACAUCGAGAAAGAUAAAAGCAAUGUAACUUGUGGGAAGUAUGGUGGCAGCAAAAUCCCUGUCUGGGCACAUGCCUCUGUGGAUCGAUUCGCUGUGUUGCUUGACCUUUGGACCUGUGAAGCUGCUCUCUUGGAAAAAAAAUGCCAGCUUUUAGAUGUUUACUUUGAAGCUUACCAACAUGCUUUGGACCCAGAAGAAAGAUUUGCUUUGGCCCAAGCAAUAAUUGACAUCAUGCACAAACAUCCGCGGUUUGAUCUCAAGCUUGAAUAUUUUGUGAACACCUACAAAGACGAAUGCAUCUGUUUACAACUUCAUCACCAGCUGCUAAGGGACAUAGUAAACCAACAAAUAGAUGUUCAGAGGGAUUAUGUCAACAAGAUUUGGUGGAAAGGUGAGAAAGGUGGCAUCAGUGAAUUUGGACUUCCUUAUAAUGUGAUUACUAAGCAACUUAUCUCUCUUAACACUAGCCAUCCUACUUUGAAGAACAUUUAUUUGCUGGAGUUUCACCCUUCUCUUGGUCUGGUGUGCUUGAUCCCCAAAGUUCUUGAGUAUAUCUACCAGGAAUACUACAGCAUGUGUAGACCCAAAACAGCCAGUAAAGCGAUUGAUUUAGAAAAACAACUACUUCAGCUAGCACUUCAUGAGUGGCUGACUAUGGAAAAACCACAAUCUUUCUACAGCUCUCAGAUUCAAGAAGAUUUAUUUGCAGAGGUACUGAUAGAGGACCCCAUGCUGGUGCGAGAGAUUGCUUCAUCACUGUUAGAGAAGGGAGCGGAUGAAGAAAGAAUGGAAGGCAGAGGAAGGCAGUUCUUGAUGCUGGAUUCCUUCUCCACGGUCCUGGAGCUUGUCACGCUCCGCCAUCGCUUGAUAGAGGCGGCAACAGAGAGUGCACAGUUAGCCAGGUUAUAUAAGGCUUUUGCAAUGGAAACAGGUUUUGGGGAGUUCCAUUUGUAUCUGAGGCCAGCACACUUUGAAUCUGCAGUUCACAAGGAGAAAGCAGACCAUCUCCCACCAAUAUUCAUUACCUCUCUCUUGGAAGAUGACAGCUGUGUUGACAGAUAUAUCCCAUCUAGCUUACCAUUAAGCAUUCAAGAAAUCGACAGUCAUAUUGGAAAGUUUAGUUUUCGUACAAGAGAUGCUGUUAUGCAGCUCUUGUGUCCAUCUGGAAUAAAGAACAUGCAACUUAUCCUUGCCUGCCAGGUCAUUCAGAAAAAUGCUCUUUUGGCAGCUGUUCAGCAAGCCUCAUUUUGUUACCUGCUCCAGCCUGCCCAUAGCCUGGACAUAAAGGGAGGAAAUGUAAGUCUAACAAGUCAGAGGAGUUCAGCAAGUGGAAGAAAUUCAGUAUCUGGAAGCCAAGCAGAGGAUCAGCUGUUGCCAGCAACUAUGCCGGACACAUCAUUUUCUGUGCGUUCUUCAGGUUUACGCCGUGCCGCUCACAGGCCUCCUGAAGCUUUUAUUUCCAUCCAGCUGGAGAAACUGGGGCCCCGAGAUAUGAUGCUGAACACUUUCAUCCAAAAGAAAGAAAUGCUGGGCAGCAGAAUGCAAACCCCUGGUGAAGUUCUGGAACUCAAAAGAGACAUUAUUGCUGAAUAUUGUCGUAAGCUGAAUGAGCGUGUGUCCCAGCAUGCCCUGAGAGGUCAGCUCAUUGCAUACUACAAUAGCCUAAGAAGCCUCUUAGAUGAUUUUCCUGUCAUCAGAGACAAGUAUUUUAUAAUUGGAGUCUCUCAAGGAAAGAAGGAGGAGCAAGACUUAAAGGAAAACCUUGUAGCUGAUCCCAGAUCCUUCCAUCCUCGACCACACCAUUUGCUGUCUCCAGAUGGACUCACCUUCCUUAACCUGUGGUUCAUCCCUCACCCUGCUGAAGUGCUGAUUAUGUUCAAGAUGCUUCCAGAGAAGGCUGCUCUCAGAGCUCUCCACCUAAGCCUAGAAAUUGUCGGUGCAUUUCAUGAUGUGGUUUCAUAUCUCCUGGCUUUUGCUCAAUUAGGAAAUUCACCAAGCCCUUUCUCUGCUUUAAACCCAGAGCCUCUGACCCCAGACUGGGGAGGAACUGAAAGGAUUGGGAGUGAACUUCGAGAGAUACAGAAAAUGAUUGACAGCCUUCAGAAUCCACUAGAUCCCAGUGAAGUAGCCCAGCUGCUAGCUGCUUACAGAGAAGUGAUGUUUCUACAGUUCGAUGCAGCAAUCCGACAUCGACUACGGGAGACAUUUUUGUCCUCAGGGAAUGUUUCAGCCUACCAGAAUGUUACAGACAGGAUGUCCCAUGCACUGCCUCCACUUAGUAACUCUGCGAUUCAGAGUGCAUUUGCUUCACAGCUACGGCUCCCACAGUUUCUGGAUCCUCAAAGUUGCAGGACACUCAUGCAUUUUCCUUGGAGGACAUUCCUAAUGGAUGGCGGAUUGUUUCCAGUCACUAUCAACAACUCAAUUAAUGUAAAUUACAACAUGCAGCUGUGCCUGUGCAACCUGAGUGAUGCAGACCGAAAAGUUGCUCACGGGGAGCUGACUGCAAUGCAGUUUCUAAUGGAGGAUGUCUUGCAGAACUGCUACAGCUCUGCUGAGGAAGAUCACACUGAUUGUCAAGCCUCAUUAGCUAAGAGCAAGCAGAACUUGGCAGAAAUGAUUGACACAAGUACUAACUGGUUGCAAAGCAGCAAAAAAAUGUGCAAACUUUUGCUGAGGCAUCAGGAUCCAGUCCUAUCAUGUAACUUACUGAGAUCUUUCCUGAUACUGUGGAAGCAACUGGAAAUGUUAAAGGCAGAAUGGGGCCGGCUGAAGCUGAGGACUGAGGAUAUAAAUACAGUUCCUCUCUACAAAGAGUUUUGUGAGCAAUAUGGCACAGACAUCUUGCACCCGGCCAUGAAAGCCAUAGCCAGAAAAAUGGGCACAGAAGAGGACUUUGGAGGGCCUGUUACAAGCACUCAGCAUAUACUUCCCCCAAAAGGAGCAUCAGAAAUUGAAAUGAAAGUGUAUCAGAUUCAAAAGCUCCUGGAAAGCCUGGAAAUCCACAUGAUCCAUGAUGUGCAGAAGAAGAUUAAACUGGAGAUGACUCUAGUGACAUCUGAAAGAGCCAGACAAGAGAGCAGCCUCCCCACUGAGCUCUGGAAACAUAGGGUAAUGCGAGAAAAUUUCUCAGUUGUACGACCACAGAUAGUUGAAACAUUUGUUCAAAGGCUGAUGGAAAACUACCAAGAAUCAGAUACAGAGGUUACUUUUAAAAAAAGCCAUUUACAACAGUGUCUUACUGUACUGGGCUGUGACAUCAUGGCCAGAGAACGCAGCAACUUUGAGACCUACUCCAUGUUUUAUGAAAAUAUUCUCCAGCAGCUGCAUCAUCUACUUUACCAAAAAGAACAAGAGCUGCAUGCGGUGGAAGAAGGUGGCAACCAAGGCGAUAUGGCUCUGAUGCAGAUUGCGGGGCUGAGUCAUGGAAUGAUUAUGGAAAUAACCGCUCUCAGAGCCCAGGUUGCUGACUUAGAGGAAGAAAAUCUCAGUCUCAAAGAGAAGAUAAGGAAAGAAGUACGGGAUGAAUACGAAUCAUUAGUGCAGAACCUAUUUGUGACUUGUGUCCAUCUAAAAGGGAAGUUGGAUGUCUAUCGACUUAGCAUUGAGCAACGAGUGCUUGAAAUCAUCAGUGAAGUGAGAAGGGAAGGAGUUGACAAUAUGAUUGAUCUGAAGAAAAAGUUUGGCUCCUCUGAAAAUAAUGGUGACUUGAAAGAAUACUUGUCUAAACAGGAACAGCUGCAGCUCUUGCAGGAUGAAAAUAUCAGGCUAAGCAAGCUGGUGUGCAAGCUGAAGGCUCUGAACUGCUGGAAGCAAACCACUCAGAAGGCACGGCUCUCCGCAAAACUGAGAGAUGCUGAGAAGGAAGCUGUUCAAAACAAAAAAGAGUGUUUGAAUGCUAAGAUGAUGGCAGAACAAGAGGUGACUUCAUUGGAGGGUCAGCUCACGUCCAUAAGGAAAACUCUUGUAAAAUCUCAAGCAGACAAUGACAAGCUAAAGAAACUGCUACAUAAACAGAAACAAAUGCUGUUGGAAAUGGGACAUCAGAUGACACAAGAAGCUAGGAAGAGAGAAAUUCUCAGUGCGGUGAAAGCUGAAAAUGUGGAGAAGAUGCUUGAAGAAAUAGAAGGAAAAGAGCAGAGACUGAAAUGCCUGACCAAGGGAGCUGAAAAGCCUUCUAAAAUAGGCCAACUUCAACAAAAAAGGGUCAAAAAAGAAAUGCAUGAGAUAGGAAGCCAGUUAACCCAAGAGCGCAGUUUCAAACUGGAGACCUUCCAGCCUGCUGAUGAACUACCGUGUCAAGUUUAUGGCCUGGAAGCUUCCCAGAGGAAUGUGACUGCAGCUGAGGAAGAGGAAUGCCUUCCCAGAAAGUGCAGGGUUGCAGCUAUGCAGCAGAACGCCCUCACUUCUCGCCUACAGUUCCUGGCAAGGCUAACGGGUGGUUUCGAUGCAGUACAGCAAUGCCACGCCGUACACAGGUUCUGCAGCUCAGGUCCAGAGGAACAGGUCUGCAGCCUCCACUCCGCUCGCUGAUUACAAGCAGCGCCCUUCGAAUCCUAAUCCAAGAAGCAGCACCGUAAAAAGAAGAAACACUCAAAGACCAAAGACAGUUCCUAGCAGAUGGAAGGAGAGCGUGGCAGAGAGGCCGUUACCACACCUAAAUGAAAAGUCUCUUCCUACUGUCUUCCUGCAGCUACAGGAACAGAGGCCUGUCCAGAAGUAAGCCUAAAUAUGUUUUUUAAUCAGUUCGAGGUGUUUCAGAAAUUACCCUGGGUUGGCAACCUUGAAGUGAGAGAAGCCCCAUUUAUACACAAACCAAAGGGAGGCAGCAGUCCUCCAGUGCUGUGCACGUACACUUCAACACCUUUGGAUACAGUGCUGGUAGCUACAGCCAGUUCAUCCUCUAACUGGGUGAUGCAGGUCCUCCUUCUGAGCAACAGCAGCACUGCACAUCCUCCUCUGACAGACAGUGCAGCACAGCAAGGCAAGGAUACCAGUCAAAACUAACAGGCUUCCUUUUAUUGCGGUAACCUUGGAACACAGCCGUGCAAAGCACAGCUAAGUUCUCAGAGCAAAAGUGGUUUUAGUUAAACUGCUUCCCUAUUGCAACCAUCGAACACCACCACAUCCUGCCUGACUGCUUUUACCCCCAGAGGUUGCUGCCUGUGCAGUGAACCUCUCAUGUUUAAAAAUGAAUCAUCAAAACGUCAGAACCUUUACCUUCCCUAGCACCUUCUUCUCCUUCCCCCUAGAAAGGGGAAGGAGAGCGGCUCAGGGGAAGGAGAGCGGCUCCUUGCACCGUGCUGCACUGCUAGAGCAAAAUGCAUAAAUUCAUGCUCCCUUAUCUGCAUCUCUCCCACAUGUAAACCCAUUGUUUUUAUAACUGAACCAAUAAAGGAAUCAAAGAUGUUUUUCA